rnacentral:rRNA from 1 species
UCCGUAGGUGAACCUGCGGAAGGAUCAUUAGCGCG